AAAAAAUAGUCAUACCAUCUAGAAUUGUUGGAUUAACAUAUAUUACUA
rnacentral:sRNA from 1 species